rnacentral:rRNA from 1 species
GACGAACCGAGCGAACGUUAUUCGGAAUCACUGGGCUUAAAGGGCGCGUAGGCGGGCCGCCAAGUCAGGGGUGAAAGCCCCCAGCUCAACUGGGGAAGUGCCUUUGAUACUGGCGGUCUCGAGGGGGAUAGGGGCGUGCGGAACUUCCGGUGGAGCGGUGAAAUGCGUAGAUAUCAGGAAGAACACCCGUGGCUAAGGCGGCUCUCUAGUACGGUACUGACGCUGAGACGCGAAAGCGUGGGGAGCGAACAGG